CUGGGGUCAAAUGAUCCACCCGCCUUAUCCUCCCAAAGUGCUGGGAUUAUGAGCGUUAAGCCACUAUGCCUAACCUAUUUUUUUUUAGCAUGAUGCUUUUAGACUUACUUAAUGCAUUUGGGGCAGGUUUAAUGUAUAAAAAGUGGGAAAAAGUAGAGGCCUGGGGAGAUAUCUAGUUGCACUUUCCGUAAUAUGAAACAUGGCCCUCCGAAUGUGCUGUCAACACAUCUGUCCUAAGUUUCCCUGCAUUGAGCCUCAGUUCAGUCACCACUUGCAAGAUGUUCCUUGAUGGGAGGGCUGUUUCUCCAGUUUACUCAUUGAUGUCAGCCCUCCACGUUGGGAUAUGAUGGGCUGAGGAACCCUGAGCUUUAGACUAAGUGGUGGGACCAGCUGUUGAUCAACUGUCCUCUGAUGAAGCCCACAUCAGUCACUUACCUUGAGCCCAGGAGGUCGAGGCUGCAGUGAGCCAUGAUCACACCACUGCACUCUGGUGCGGGUGACAGAGACCCUAUCUCAAAAACAAACAAAAAUAUGGGAAUCUCAAGUCUAUUCUAUUUUUGUAAUAGUGGACACAUUUCCAGAAAGGCAUGAGGACUUUUCUGAAUCUGAAAACCUAAAAUUCUCUAAUUGACAAUUUGAAUAUCUUUGGGAGGAAAUGCACAAUCCAUGAUCAUACCAGAAUAUACUGAGAAAAUAAUUUAUUAAAUUGUAAAUUGGGAAAUUUUUUAAUAAGUUUAGUAAUAAUGAUUAAUGAGAUCGUGAAUUUGUCCGUUGGAGAUUUAAAUUUUAAUGAAGUUUUUUUAAAAAA